UUAAUUUUUCCUGAGAACUCGAACUUUGCGAGAGAUAAAUUCUUCUUGAGCCGGAAUUUUUCCGGAUCGUCUUUAAAUUGGCAACAUUUAUUGAGCUAUGUCCAUGUAGCCCCCGAGUCUUUAAGACGACUCAAUGAGUUGGCUUAAGAUUCUCCAUAGUUGACCGUAAUAUAGACCGGUUUGAAUCCUGCAUGGGAUAACUUGCAAGUCAAAGUAAUUGCUCUUUGAAAGAAAAUAAUAUGUAAUAUAAAAUAUACUGGAUGGAUUUCAGCUGAUAUGUCAGGCUAGGGAUUAUCCACCGCAGAGUUGAUGAUCACUAUGGUGAAUAACUCUAUGAAUCAACCACGGGCGUGGUCCGACGAGUUGAUGUAGACCAAGCUGCACGGGCGGCGGCUUGCGUACACCCGUUCAACAGCAAGCGGGUGCGUACGCCGGUGCAUGACGAUGCUAACGUACACCCCAUAGGCAUAGCAUGGCACCAUCUUUAUCAUGAUUUCUUGCCCUGCACAUAAAAAUAUACAGACCAAAGUAGUUGUUCUCUGAUGAAAACAAUAUGUGUUAAUAAAAUAGAUUCAGAUAGAUAUCACCUGAUUUGUUUGGACCCUAGAUGAUCUGCCUGUAGCACCCGUAUAUAUCCUGGUGAUGUACGGCCCAUCCGGUGCAAACAGAGAAAUCUGACAAUCAGCCACUGUUUGUUUUUCUCUUGUGAGCUCUAUAAGGCCCCCUCCCUUUUUUUACUCUGGCUCUUUUCUUCUGGAUCACAUGAAUACUCGGCCAGCGGAGCACAAGUCGGCGGGCGCCCGUGUCGGCAGCUUGAGCCGGCGAAGCAAGCCAGGCGGCUCGACGCAGGGGAGUGCACCAGCGGCGGCUCUCGGACAAUGGCGGCGGACGGGGCCCUCGGACAGCGGUGAGCCGGUGAUAGGAUCUUUAGAGGCGCUGGCGACUCGUUGAAGGUGCGGCGGCAUGCGGCGGGGUCGCAAGGCCAGCGGCGAUUUAGCCGGGUUAACUCGGAGCAGCUACCGGCUUAGCGGCAGCAAGGGCGACCCACGCGGAUGGAGUGGAGGCGCGGCAACUCGCGGAAACCGCGACAGAAGCGGCACGAGGCCGGCUCGCAGGUGCGGUUAGCGACUUGGGCGCACAACCACCAAAGAAGUAUGAAGAUGCAGCCGUUCAAUGAUACACGUGGUGAUGAGGUGGCAAGGGAGCCCCCGACCAGCCGGGUUACAGCUGAGAUUCAGCAGCUGCUCGAGGCAAAAAACAGCAGAGGUGGCCGCAGGGCUGGGCAUCUCGGUGAAGCAACCCCGGCGCGGACGGAUGGGUGUAGAGCAGCUCGGCGGCUCAGGACCGCGGGGACGGCUCCACACAACGACAGAGGCGGAUGAGCGAGGCCGUUGCUGCAGUUGUACUGGUUUUGAAUCUUUCAUGAACCAGCACUCGCGUUCGAUGUAUGGAGCAGAGAUUCCUCAUCUCCCAAACAAAGCAAGUACUGCACUUAGCAUAUGUGUUCGAUGGAAGGCCAACACCAAGUAAAAGCCCCCAGAUGCUUGAUACAAUGCAGCAGCACCACGACGACGAAAAGACAUCAAUCGCCAAUCCCUAAAUAUCUGGCGGCGGCCGGCAAUGGAGGCGAGUCUGCUUUAGGCGGUUUGCUGUAGAAACGGAGGCACCCUGCCAGGAUGGAACGGCGCAAGGCGAACGCAGCUUCAACACAGCAGCGGCUCGGCACUGUGGCGGUGAUGGCCGGCCGGGUCAAUGCGUGGCAGAGGGUUGAGACGCAGUGCAGGCGUCGGCCGCGAUGCAGCCAGUUGGAGACAACACAGGGCGAUUCAACACUGAUGCGGCCCGUAGUAGAAGCCAGAACCGGCAGAGGUGACUUUGGAGAGGCGGCGAUUCAACUCGGCCGUGAUGGUCACUUGGCAACGACAUCUUGAGACCGCACCAGCGGAGGCGAGCAGCGGCUGCAAGGCCGUGUGUCGGAGGCGGACAGCCGAUGCGCAGCUACGGCCGCGGAAGGCGGUGACUCGGCGACGGCGGAGGCGGCUCCAGGCGCGGACGACGGUGCUGGUCAGGCCCCCGGCGACUCGAGGUGCCGUGGGUCAACUGAUGGACUGAUGGCUCAGAAACAAAGGCGGAGGGGGUGCUGUGGCGCCUCGCCCCUGCUACCGUUGAGACGCGGGCGGCGGCUCGUCUUGUGGUCAUCGAGGAAGCUGUGAUGGUGGAAUCCCUCCAGUGACUCGGAGCGAGGUUGAGGCGACGACGCUGUGGCAUAACUCGGCUGAGGUGGCGGUUCUGCGGCAGCUCAAUACUCUCCAGUGGCGGCUCGCAACGGCGGGUCAGAGCGGUAGAUCAGAGCGGCGGGUCAGAGGUAAUACUGGAGCAACGGUGAUUCACUGGCGGAUUGAAGCAAAUGGAAACGGCCCAAGGCACGGUGAACCUCGAAGGAGGUGGCGACUCAUCGGAUUCCAGGUGGGUGCGCGGUUGAUCAGUUCGAGUCCGGCUCAACGCGGGGAGGCUAUCCAGUGGCGGCUCAACGCGGGGAGGCCCCCCGGUGACGGUGCAAGGCGGGACAGCCCGGACACGGCAAGGGCAAGGCGGAGCAAGGUCGGCUCAGGGCCGGCCACAGCGGAGCAAGCGGCUCGGCGUGGCAAGCGAACGUCGGCGACAGGAGCGGGUCGGUGACGGCGACUUAGGGGAGGUGAGGCGCGAUCGUGACCCGGACGGGAAACGAGGCGUGACGGCGACUUUGGACUGAGGACCAGUCACGAUAGCCACUCGAACGGGAGGCAAAGCGCGUCCCGUGGUGGCCGAGGAGUCCGAGUCGUGGCCGUUCUGGCUAAUCCAUGUUUCUUUCUCCGAGUUAUGGUCGGUUUGACUUUUCCUUCCGUGCGGAUGGAUCAUCGUUUUAGUACUAUCUCCUCAUGCUGAUGGAUCAAUGGAUGGAUCACCUUUUGCCA